rnacentral:rRNA from 1 species
GGGGGCGGGUGUGAAAGCCUGAUGCGCCGUGCCGCGUGUAUGAAGAAGGCCUUCGGGGUGUAAAGUACUUUCAGCGGGGAGGAAGGCGUUGAGGUUAAUAACCUCAGCGAUUGACGUUACCCGCAGAAGAAGCACCGGCUAACUCCGUGCCAGCAGCCGCGGUAAUACGGAGGGUGCAAGCGUUAAUCGGAAUUACUGGGCGUAAAGCGCACGCAGGCGGUCUGUCAAGUCGGAUGUGAAAUCCCCGGGCUCAACCUGGGAACUGCAUUCGAAACUGGCAGGCUAGAGUCUUGUAUAGGGGGGUAGAAUUCCAGGUGUAGCGGUGAAAUGCGUAGAGAUCUGGAGGAAUACCGGUGGCGAAGGCGGCCCCCUGGACAAAGACUGACGCUCAGGUGCGAAAGCGUGGGGAGCAAACAGGAUUAGAUACCGGAAAUAGUCCA